rnacentral:piRNA from 1 species
UGAUUUUCAGAAUGUUCUUAGAAAAGAACUGC